rnacentral:lncRNA from 1 species
GCUGUUACCAAGGAAAACAAGUGACUUCUGAUGGGAAAAAUGAGAACCAAAGAUUGCCCCAGAUGUUUUAAGUUAAAUUAUGACCUCUGCAGUUUGGCUAGCUAGCACUAGAUAUGCUAUGGGACCUUGUGGUAUCAUGUUAUUAUAUCUCUAUCUAGCUAUCUAUCUCUCUAUCUAUCUAUUCCAGUAGAUUAUGCAUGAAACUGUAGCUUGAUGCAAACAUACUUGCAUGGCUUGUAUCGUACUGUCAUGCAUUGCUGGUGUUUUUGCAAGUGCUUCCGGCUCCAAGUGAUUGCAAUCAACUUAGAAGUGUUCACUCUCUGAAGCUAAUUUGUGUGACGCCUUGUAACAGAUCCUUUCACUUUGUGACUGCUCUGUGUUUUUCUGGUCACCAAGGGGCGGGCUCGUCUUGUUCGGAUCCUUUUCACUUCAUGACUGCCCUGUUUUUUUUUUCUACAUCACCAUUUGGCCGGCUUGCCUUGACCUAUUCAUUCUGCACGUUUCAUCCAUACGUGCGACAAGUAAUUCGGAACGGAGGGAGUACAAACCUGUUCAGUUCAAAAUCAUGGGGUAACAGGUGCAACUUAAAAAGGAGCAACCUUUCCCUUCCAAGUGCUAAACAAGAGAACACUGGCAAGUUUGUUCUAGAUUUUCGAUCUUCUACUCUUCUUAAUAAUCUGGAGAGAGGUUACAGAUUUUGCAAUCUUCUACUUUUCUUAAUACUCUAGAGAGAGGAAACAAAAAUACUCCCUCACAUCCAUAUUAAUUGUCACUAGAGGUAGUAACAAUUCUCAGCUACUCCCUCCUUUCCUAAAUAUUUGUCCUUUUAGAGAUUUCAAAUGGACUACCACAUACAGAUGUAUAUAGACAUAUUUUAGAGUGUAGAUUCACUCAUUUUGCUUCAUGUGUAGUCACUUGUUGAAAUCUCUAAAAAAGACAAAUAUUUAAGAAUGGAGGAGUAGAUGAGAAUUACUUAAGUUUCAUCUGUACGAUUUCGCAUUCUCCGGCCCGUUUUUGUGUCGUUUCUUCUUAAGCAUCACGCGGGAGUCACUAAUUAACGAGUGCUCCUUCGGGAGCCUCGCAACGAUCAGCGCCAUUUGACGCGCUCUCAGCCAUUCGCCAUGUGUCGCACUCUGGGCGCUCCCUCCGGAUUUUGUUCUUCUUUUUUGCACGCGUUUUCAGCUAUUUAAACGGGUUUUUUCGACGUUUUGGUUUUCCACCGAUCUUCCUUAGCUUUCCGACAAAAAAAAUCGAAAAACAAUUUACGUGAAAAAACGCGUUUCCUUUUUUUUCCUUUCGCGAGAGUCACGGUUUUGCUUUCGCGAGAGGCACGGUUUUGUUUUCGCGGAAACGGAAAAAAACGCGUUUUCUUUUUUUUUCCUUUCGCGAAAGUCACGGUUUUGCUUCCGCGAGAGGCACGGUUGUGCUUUCGCGAGAGUCACGGCCGUGCCUCUCGAAAAGGAAAAAAACGCGUUUUCUAUUUUCUUUCAUUUCGCGUGAGUCAUGGUUUUGCUUCCGCGAGAGGCACGGAUGUGCUUUCGCGAGAGUCACGGCCGUGCCUCUCAGAAACGGAAAAAAUGUGUUUUCUGUUGUUUUCCUUUUGCGAGAGUCACGGUUUUGUUUUCGCAGAGGCACGGGUGUGCUUUCGCGAGAGUCACGGGCGUGCCUCUUUUGGAAAGGGAAAAAACCCGUGCUCCCGGUUUGGUUUUUUUGUCCGGUUUCUUUUGGCCGGUUUUUUCAUGAAAAAAUAUUCGUCAAAACCUACCAACAUGGGAUCUAGUUUUGAAGAUCUCGACGCGAGGAAUCCAACGGUGAAAGCGGUUUGAGAUUUGGACGCACGGUUUGAGAGAUAAAAUGUUUUGAAUAAACGGAUCUACGAAAAAAGGGAAAACUCCCAGGUUGCGACAAGUGGCGUGUCACUUGUCGCAAUCUGAGGAGUUGGAGUGAUCUUUGCAAUGAGUACUCCUCAACUAGUGAUUUCGGUAUCACGCACGGCUGGUUCCUAUAUAGCGCUUAAGGCGCUACGUACUACCUCUAGGUCCUAAGUGGGCUGCCGGCCCAUAUUACCUUCUGGGAUAUGUUUUCUGUUUUUGUUUUCUGUUGAAUUUUUGUGUGUUUUUCUUAUCUCACUUUUUUGUUAUAUUUUUUUGAAUUCAUGAACAUCUUUCAAAUACAUGAUUGUUUUUAAAAAAAUAUGAACUUCUAUGUAUUAUCCUUUUUGCAAUUUUUUGAAUUCAUGAAUAUUUUUCCAGAUUUUCUGAAUUUGAAUUUGUGAUUUAUUUUCAAAGUUCAUGAACUUUUUUCAAACUCAUGGACAUUUUCAAUUUCACAUUUUUUUUAAAAUUCAUGAUUGUUAUCAAACCCAUGAUUUUUUUGAAAAGGUUAACUGGUCAACAGUCAGCAAUUAACAAUCAAUCAAGUCAAAGGUCAACUGGUCAAUUGGUCAGAGGAAACAAAAAUGCUCCCUCCAAUCCAUAUUAAUUGUCACUAAUUCUCAGCUUGAUGAGAAUUACUUAAGUUUCAUCCGUAUGAUUUCACAUUCUCCGGCACGUUUUUGUGUCAUUGCUUGUUAGGCAUCACGCAAGGCUUGUUUCUAUAUAGCGCUUAAGGCGACACGUACAACCUCCUCGCUAGGUCCUAAGUGGGCUGCCGACCCAUGUUACCUUCUGGGAUAUGUUUGUCCGUUUUUGUUUUCUGCUGAAUUUCCGUGUGUUUUUCUUAUCUCCCUUUUCUGUUAUAUUUUUGUGAAUUCAUGAACUUCUUCAAAUACCUGAUUUUUAGGAAAAAUAUGAGCUUUUAUGAAUUAUCUUUUUUGCAAUUUUUUGAAUUCAUGAAUAUUUUUCCCAUUUUUUGAAUUCGAAUUUGUGAUAUCUUUUCAAAUUUCAUGAACUUUUUUAAAAUUCGUGAAAAUUUCAAUUCCACAAACUUUUUUCAAAUUCAUGGUUUUUAUCAAACCCAUGAACUUUUCUGAAAAAGUCAACUGGUUAACAGUCAAUCAAUUACUCCCUCUAUCCCAUAAUAUAAGAACAUUUUUUACACGAGUGUAGUGUCAAAAACUUUCUUAUAUUAUGGGACGGAGGGAGUAACAAUAAAUCGAUCAAAGAUCAAUUGGUCAAUUGGUUAACCGUUCAAUGUUUAACUUUUUUUAGGUGAAUCAACUGUUUAAUUUAUCAACCGAGCGAGCAAGCGGCCGCUUUGUUGGGCCGACCCACACGAGCAGGCGUGCUAACGUGAGGGUUCCCCGCUGGGUCUGCGCUUGAAGAUUUUUAGGUUUCGAUUGAGCACACAUAGGAAGACUUUAAUCUAACUCUCACUUUGACCACCUUGAUAGUAUGGUUUUCCCUAUUGAGUCAAAUAGAAGCAAAAGAAACUAGUAAACAAAGUCUACAUUUUUGCUUCAUUCACUUCAAGAACACCAUUUGCUUCAAAUGGGUAUCCCAUAUUCUUCAAUAUUAUCACAACAAGUUUAGGGGUUAUAACUAUUUGUUAAAUCAAAUCCUCGGGGACUACUACAUGUGUAAACUCACAAACACAUUAUUCCUUAACUAUUUUUUCCAUAGAAUCAUCCAAAACCAUUAGGGGGACACUAGAUACACUUAUAAUCUCCCCCCUCGACAAUUUGAUGACAACACAGUUAAUGCUUCAUAGGAUUGAAUAAUAGUAAUUGUAGCAAGGAUUUUGGUUCCACGAUAUAGAGGGCAUAACCCCCCCUAGAAUGUGCAUUGUUGAAUAGCUUGUGUUUGAAUGCAAGUGCACAUGACAGGUAAACUGUGAGGAGCCCCCCCCCCUAUAUCCUGGAAUCUGAAGGAGUGCAUUAUGUACAGAUAUAAAAUUAAGAAUAUGACAAUGCAAACUAAGUGAACCAUGAGGAAUAUCAACUUGCAUAUAAUUUAAUGAGGUAACUGCAUGAAUAACAAGUGCAGCAGGUAUGUCAGAUCACAUAAAUUAAGAGUUUUACAACAUAUUAAGAAUCAAAUUUAAAAAGAGCAAUGUAACUCAGUAGAAAAGCCUGCCAUCGGAAGUUGGAACGACCAAAAAAUGGUUUAUAAGCAAAUGUGCCUACGCAUUUCCGCAAAAUGGAUGUACCAGGGAGCUUGAAAAUAAGAAGAUGAGAUGGAGGUUGAUGCUAGUGCUGGGGAGAGUAAGUAGAUGACUUGGAAGAAGAAAAUCUGGAUUGCCUAGGUGGUCAGGAGAAUGUGCAGCUCUCUACGAUUUCAGAAGAUGUAGUAGAAGACCCUUGGUCCCAAGAAUCCUUUGGCACUCAAGUGGUGAAUGCCUUUGCUGCUGGGAAAUCUUGUGGAAGUGGCAGCUCCGCGGCAACUGCACCUAUCCCUGAGAUUAGAAGGAUGAUAGUUUGUAGGUUUGGAAGGUACUGACAGAACUACUUUGGUCAUGCAGAGGUUUUUUUUAUGUUUUUGUUUGUUAUUCUUUUAUUUUAUUUUUAAUGGAUGUUGUCACUUUUACAAAUAAAUGUCGAAUAUUGUCAAAAUACAUGUAAUUUUUUUAUGAAUUGUACCAACAUUUUUUUACACCACACAAAAAACAAACUUUUAGAUUCCAUAAAAAAUCAAUGCAGGGUAAACAUUUUAUAAACUAGGUAUAUUAGCAUUUUUUUUCUAAUUACAUGAAUAUUCUUACAAGGCGCGGGAGCUUGAAAAUCAGGAAAAAAACUUGAUGAAAUCUAGGCCAAGGAAGAUGAGAUGGAGGUUGAUGCUGGUGAUGGGAGAAUGUGGAGAUGAACUUGGAAGAAGAAAAUCUGGAUUGCCUAGGUGGUCAGGAGAAGGCGUAGCUCUCAGUGGUUUUAGAUGAUGUGGCAGAAGAUCCUGGGUCCCGAGAAUCCCUUGGCACUCAAGUGGUGAAUGCCUUUGCUGCUGGGAAAUCUUGUGGAAGUGGCAGCUCCGCUGCAAGUUCCUCUAUCCCUGAGAACACAGGGAGUGAUAGUUUGUGGGUUUGGAAAUACUGACAGAACUACUUUGGCCACGCAGAGGGUUUUAUUGUUGUUUUUAAUUUUUUUUGUUAGUUAUUUUUUAAUUGGGGUUGUCAAUUUUAAAAAUAAACGUCCAAUAUUUUUGAAAUACAUGUAGUUUUUUAUGAAUUAUACCAACAUUUUUUACACUACACAAACAAGAUUUUCAUUCCACAAAAUAAUCAAUGAGAGGUAAAUAUUUUUAGAAACUAAGUAUAUCAUCACUGUUUCUAAUUUACAAGGCACAAGAAACUUGAAAAUGAGGAAAACACUUGAUGAAUUCGGGUCGAGGAACAUGAGACGGAGGUUGAUGCUAGUGUUGCGGAGAAUGAGGAGAUGACUUGGAAGAAGAAAAUCUGGAUUGCCUAGGUGGCCGGGAGAAGGUGUAGCUCUCUACGUUUCCAGAAGAUGGAGUAGAAGAUCCUUGGUCCCAAGAAUCCUUUGGAAGUCAAGUGGUGAAUGUCUUUGUUGCUGGGAAAUCUUAUGGAAGUGGCAGCUCCGCUCCAACUGCCCAUAUCCCUUAGAUCAGAAGGAGUGAUAGUUUGUCGAUUUGGAAGGUACUCACAAAACUACUUUUGCCAAGCAAAGGGUUUUAUAGUCUUUUUUUACAUUUUUGGUUAGUUAUUUUUUAUUUUCAUUUUUAAUGGCCGUUAUCAUUUUUACAAAUAAACGUCGAAUAUUGUCAAAAUACAUGUAUUUUUUAUGAAUUGUACCAACAUUUUUUUAUACCACACAAACAAACUUUUGCAUUCCACAAAAAAAAUCAAUGCAAGAUAAUGUUUUUGUAAAGUAAGUAUACUAGCAUUUUUUUAAUUUACAUGAAUAUUCCUACAAGGCGCAGGAGUUUGAAAAUCAAGAAAAACUUGAUGAAAUUCAGGCCAAGGAAGAUGGGAUGGAGGUUGAUGCUGGUGCUGGGAGAAUGAGGAGAUAAUUUGGAAGAAGAAAAUCUGGAUUACCUAGGUGGUCAGGAGAAGGCGUAGCUCUUUGCUGUUUCAGAAGAUGUAGUAGAAGAUCCUGGGUCUCGAGAAUCCUUUAGCACUCAACUGGUGAAUGCCCUGGCUGCUGCGGAAUCUUGUGGAAGUGGCGGCUCCGCUGCAAAUGCCCCUAUCCCCUAGAUCAGAAGGAGUGAUAGUUUGUGGGCUUGGAAGAAAAUGACAUAACUACUUUGGCCAUGUGGAGGGUUUUAUUGUUCCUUUUCUUUUAUUGUUUGUUUCUUUUUUAUUUUAUUUGUUAAUGGAUGUUGUCAUUCUUACAAAUACACGUCGAAUAUUCUUGAAAUACAUGUAAAACAUUUUUAUGAUUGUGCAUCUUGAUGUUGACAUGGACGGCGGAUGCUUCACCGGUACAUCCCCGUUCCGGUAAAUUUACUUAUUCGAUGGACUGUGCUAUUUGUCAACCGUGUGACAGAUUGCGAAAAUACCAACCGAUCCUGCCAGCGAGGCCCAGCUCGCUCGAUCCGUCUAAGGAGGCCCUAGUGCGUUCGAUUCUAAAUUUUCCUCUCGUCCCCGUUGGCCACGCACAUCCCACGUUCUCUCGCCUAGUACUUUUUUCCACCUUUUUUUUCACGUUACACAAUUUUCUCUCUCGUCCCGUUAGCCUCCCGCUUCCCCCACGUUUUUCUCAUCAGAAGAAACAAAAGUAGGGUAAAAAAUGAGGGAAAAGGCAAAAAAGCUGAGCCUGACGAGAUUCGUACCCAGGUCCUCCUUGUUUGAGGCUGCAGGGCUUACACAAAGCCCAAUACCCAACUAGACAACACAAAGUUUGUGUUCACAUUCUAAAGAAAUAUACUACUUCAUCGCUGGUGCAUAUUAUUAUCAUAACAUUUGUCCAGUAUUUAUUCAAGGGUUUGCUUUCAACAAGUUUUUUCCUAUGUUAAAAAGUUACCACGUGUAAAUUAUCAGGUCUCCGGUCCAUAUAUUAUCAUGUCAUCUAUACAAAAAUAACCGAUGAAUAUUUUCAACAAUUGUUUUCCCCAGGGUCAAAUGUUACCACAUGUUUUGUACCUAAGUUAUCAUGUGUGCGAUGUGUAUAGUACCAUACUAUUUACACAUAAGUUACCGGGGUUAUUUCAACACAUUUUUUCCCUCGGUCAAUGUUACCCUGGUGUCUUAUAUCUAAGUCAUCAUGUCUGUGGUGCAUAAAUCACCAUGGAAUGUACAAAAAGAGUUACAACGUCAUGUUAUCAACAACUUUUCUCCCGGGUGAAAGUUAUCAUCGUGUUUCUACGCAAUUUAUCAAAACUUAUCAUGCUAUUUACACAGAAGUUAUUGGGCGUAUUAUCAUUUCUAUUUGAACAGAUGUUAUUGUACAUAAUUCAUCAGGUCCAUGGUGCGUAUAUUACCGUGCUAUUCACACAAAAGUUAUCGGAGGUAUGUUUUCAACAACUUUAUUCCCGGAUCAAAAAUUUAUCAUGGUGUAUGCAUUUGAGUUAUUCGUGAUCCGUAAAUUAUCAUAUUAUUUUCAUAGAAGUUACUGCACGCAUGCUUUGAAACAAUUUGCCCUGAGCCAAAUUUACCGCAGUGUUUGUACGUUAGUUAUCAUGUCCACAAUGCGUACAUUACCAUGCUAUUUUCAUAGAAGUUACCAUGCUAUCAGGUUCGCGAGCUUGACCUUACUUAUAGAACACAACAACAAAACAAGGUAUGGCCUAGUUAUGUAUUGUCUAGUGGGAAAAAUGAUGGGACUAGGAGAUAAAUCGCCAAAGCUCAAAAUUGGAAAGAAAAAGAAAUGCCUUUUACUGCGUCCUAUUUCCAUCUCAGGCUCUCAGUCCUUAUUUACAAAAACUACAACAGUACCCAAUCACAACAUACUGCAUUCCUAGAGGGUUGUCUCAGCUAGCCCACAACCUAUGGGUGCGGGGUUUGACUCCCGCUCUGCUCGUUCUUUGAAAUAUUUAUGGAGACGAUAGGGCGAGCCAUCGAAAUUACCGACGAGGAUUGCGGUAUGCGCUGUCGUCAUAUCAGAAGUCAGCCAAUGCAUUCAAUCAUUUUGUAAAAACCAUUUGGUGUGCCACAUACAUUAGUCAUUUCAUAUAAGUUACUUGUGGUAUAUUUUUCAACAUUUUUUCCGUCUUGGUCAAAGUUACAGCGGUGUUUGUCCGUAAGUUAUCGGGUAUGUGUUUCGUAUAUUACUGUGCUAUUUUCGCAUAAGUUUUCGAGGGUAUGUUUUGUUGGGGAACGUAGUAAUAAUUCAAAAUUCUCCUACGUGUCACCAAGAUCAAUCUAGGAGAUACUAGCAACGAGAGAGAGAGAGAGAGGGAGUGCAUCUUCAUACCCUUGAAGAUUGCUAAGCGGAAGCAUUACAAGAAUGCGGUUGAUGGAGUCGUACUCGCGGCGAUUCAAAUCGCGGAAGAUCCGAUCUAGCGCCGAACGGACGGCGCCUCCGCGUUCAACAUACGUACAGCCCGGGGACGUCUCCUCCUUCUUGAUCCAGCAAGGGGAGAGGAGAAGUUGAGGGAGAGCUCUGGCAGCACGACUGCGUGGUGGUGGAGCUUGUAGUUCUCCGGCAGGGCUUCGCCAAGCACUACUGAGGAGGAGGUGGAGUUGGAGAGGGGGAGGGUUGCGCCAGGGGCAAGGGGUUAAGCUCCCAUGCGCCUCCCCACUAUAUAUAGGGGUGGAGGGGCUGGUUUCUUGCCCUCCAAGUCCAUUGGGGCGUUGGCAAAGGUGGGAGGAAAGAAAUCCCAUCAUUUCCUUCCCCACCGAUUGUUAUCCCCCCUUUUUAGGGAUCUUGAUCUUAUCCCUUCGGGAUAUGAUCUUAUUCCUUCUAAGUGGGAUCUUUGUGCGCCUUGACCAGGGGUGUGUGGCCUUGUCCCCACUACCCACGUUCAUGUGGGUCCCACUCCAGAACCUUCUAGAACCUUCCCGGUACAAUACCGAAAAAUCCCAAACAUAUUCCGGUGGCCAAAAUAGGACUUCCCAUAUAUGAAUCUUUACCUCCGGACCAUUCCGGAACUCCUCGUGACGUCCGGGAUCUCAUCCGGGACUUCGAACAACAUUCGGUAACUGCACACUAAUUCCCAUAACAACUCUAGCAUCACCGAACCUUAAGUGUGUAGACCCUACGGGUUCGGGAAUCAUGCAGACAUGACCGAGACAACUCUCUGGCCAAUAACCAACAGCGGGAUCUGGAUACCCAUGUUGGCUCCCACAUGUUCCACGAUGAUCUCAUCGGAUGAACCACUAUGUCGGGGAUUCAAUCAAUCCCGUAUACAAUUCCCUUUGUCAAUCGGUACGUUACUUGCCCGAGAUUCGAUCGUCGGUAUCCCCAUACCUCGUUCAAUCUCGUUACCGGCAAGUCUCUUUACUCGUUCUGUAACGCAUGAUCCCGUGGCUAACUCCUUAGUCACAUUGAGCUCAUUAUGAUGAUGCAUUACCGAGUGGGCCCAGAGAUACCUCUCCGUCACACGGAGUGACAAAUCCCAGUCUCGAUUCGUGCCAACCCAACAGACACUUUCGGAGAUACCCGUAGUGCACCUUUAUAGCCACCCAGUUACGUUGUGACGUUUGGCACACCCAAAGCAUUCCUACGGUAUCCGGGAGUUGCACAAUCUCAUGGUCUAAGGAAAUGAUACUUGACAUUAGAAAAGCUCUUAGCAAACGAACUACACGAUCUUGUGCUAUGCUUAGGAUUGGGUCUUGUCCAUCACAUCAUUCUCCUAAUGAUGUGAUCCCGUUAUCAAUGACAUCCAAUGUCCAUGGUUAGGAAACCAUAACCAUCUAUUGAUCAAUGAGCUAGUCAACUAGAGGCUCACUAGGGACAUGUUGUGGUCUAUGUAUUCACACAUGUAUUACGUUUCUAGUUAAUACAAUUAUAGCAUGAACAAUAGACAAUUAUCAUGAACAAGGAAAUACAAUAGGGCAUAUUUCCAACAGUCUCCCACUUGCACUAGAGUCAAUAAUCUAGUUCACAUCACUAUGUGAUUGUAAUGAAUACAUCACCCAUGGUGUUUGAUCAUAUCUCGCUUGUGAGAGAGGUUAUUAGUCAACGGGUCUGAACCUUUCAGAUCCGUGUGUGCUUUACAAAUCUCUAUGUCAUCUUGCAAAUGCAGCUACCGCGCGCUACUUGAAGUUAUUCCAAAUAACUGCUCUACUAUAUGAAUCCGGUUUACUACUGAGAGUCAUCCAAAUUAGUGUCAAAGUUUGCAUCGACGUAACCCUUUACGACAAACUCUUUUACCACCUCCAUAAUCGAAAAAUUCCUCAGUCCACUAGUUACUAAGGAUAAAUUUGAUCGCUGUCCUGUGAUCCAUUCCUGGAUCACUCUUGUACCCCUUGACUGACUCAUGGCAAGGCACACUUCAGGUGCGGUACACAUCGUAGCAUACUGUAGAGCCUACGUCUAAAGCAUAGGGGACGACCUUUGUCCUUUCUCUCUCUUCUGCCGUGGUCAGGUCUUGAGUCUUACUCAAUACUCACACCUUAUAACACAGCCAAGAACUCCUUCUUUGCCGAUCUAUUUUGAAUUCCUUCAAAAUCUUGUCACGGUAUGUGUUCAUUUGAAAGUACUAUUAAGCGUUUUUGACCUAUCCUUAUAGAUCUUGAUGCUCAAUGUUCAAGUAGCUUAAUCCAGGUUUUCCAUUGAAAAACACUUUUCAAAUAACCCUUUAUGCUUUCCAGAAAUUCUACAUCAUUUCUGAUCAACAAUAUGUUAACAACAUAUACUCAUCAGAAAUUCUAUAGUGCUCCCACUCACUUCUUUGGAAAUACAAGUUUCUCAUAAACUUUGUAUAAACCCAAAAUCUUUGAUCAUCUCAUCAAAGUGUAUAUUCCAACUCCGAGAUGCUUACUCCAGUCCUUAGAAAGAUUGCUGGAGCUUUGCAUACUUGUUAGCAUCUUUCAGGAUUGACAAAACCUUCUGGUUGUAUCACAUACAACCUUUCCUCAAGAAAAUCGUCGAGGAAACAAUGUUUUGACAUCCUAUCCGCAAGAUUUCAUAAAAUGCAGUAACUGCUAAUAUAAUUCCAACAGACUCUUAGCAUCGCUACGAGUGAGAAAGUCUCAUUGUAGUCAACUCCUUGAACUUGCCGAAAACAUCUUAACGACAAGUCGAGCUUUCUUAAUGGUGAUACUUACCAUCAUUACCCAACAGCCUUACGACCAUCAAGUAGUUCUUCCAAAGUCUAUACUUUGUUUUCAUACAUGGAUCCUCUCGGAUUUUAUGGCCUCGAGCCAUUCGUCAGAAUCCGGGCCCACCAUCGCUUCUCCAUAGCUCGUAGGUUCAUUGUUGUCUAGCAACAUGACUUUCAAGACAGGAUUACGUACCACUCUGAAGUGGUACGCAUCCUUGUCGACCUACAGGGUUUGGUAGUGACUUGAUCUGAAGUUUCAUGAUCACUAUCAUCAGCUUCCACUUCAAUUGGUGUAGGCGACAUAGGAAUAACUUCAUGUGCCCUGCUACACACUAGUUGAAGUGAUGGUUCAAUAACCUCAUCAAGUCUCCACCAUCCUCCCACUCAAUUCUUUCAAGAGAAACUUUUCCUCGAGAAAGGACCUGAUUCUAGAAACAAUCCCUUUUGCUUCCGGAUCUGAGAUAGGAGGUAUACCCAACUGUUUUGGGUGUCCUAUGAAGAUGCAUUUAUCCGCUUUGGGUUCGAGCUUAUCAGCCUGAAACUUUUUCACAUAAGCGUCGCAGCCCCAAACUUUUAACAAACGACAACUUAGAUUUCUCCAAACCAUAGUUCAUACGGUGUCGUCUCAACGGAAUUGCGUGGUACCCUAUUUAAAGUGAAUGCGGUUGUCUCUAAUGCCUAACCUAUAAACGAUAGUGGUAAUUCGAUAAGAGACAUCAUGGUAUGCACCAUAUGCAAUAGGGUGCAGUUAUGAUGUUCGGACACACCAUCACACUAUGGUGUUCCAGGCGGUAUUAAUUGUGAAACAAUUUCCACGAUGUCUUAAUUGUGUGCCAAACUUGUAACUCAGAUAUUCAUCUCUAUGAUCAUAUCAUAGACAUUUUAUCCUCUUGUUACGACGAUCUUCAACUUCACUCUGAAAUUACUUGAACCUUUCAAUAAUUCAGAUUUGUGUUUCAUCAAGUCAAUAUACUCAGAAUCUACUCAAAUCAUCUGUGAAGUAAGAACAUAACGAUAUCCACUGCGUGCCUCAGCACUCAUUAGACUGCACACAUCAAAAUGUAUUACUUCCAACAAGUUACUUUCUUGUUCCAUCUUACUGAAACCGAGGCUUUUCAGUCAUCUUGCCCAUGUGGUAUGAUUUGCAUGUCUCAAGUGAUUCAAAAUCAAGUGAGUCCAAAUGAUCUAUCUGCAUGGAGUUUCUUCAUGCGUAUACACCAAUAGACAUGGUUCGCAUGUCUCAAUCUUUUCAAAACGAGUGAGUCCAAAGAUCCAUCAACAUGGAGCUUCUUCAUGCAUUUUAUACCAAUAUGACUCAAAUGGCAGUGCCACAAGUAUGUGGUACUAUCAUCACUAUCUUAUAUCUUUUGGCAUGAACAUGUGUAUCACUACGAUCGAGAUUCAAUAAACCGUUCAUUUUAGGUGCAAGACCAUUGAAGGUAUUAUUCAAAUAACCAGAGUAACUAUUAUUCUCCUUAAAUGAAUGACCGUAUUGCGAUAGACAUAAUCCAAUCAUGUCUAUGCUCAACGCAAACACCAAAUAACAAUUAUUUAGGUUUAACACCAAUCUCGAUGGUAGAGGGAGUAUGCGAUGCUUGAUCACAUCAAGCUUGGAAACACUUCCAACACAUAUCGUCAUCUCACCUUUAGCUAGUCUCCGUUUAUUCCGCAGCUUUUAUUUCGAGUUACCAACACUUAGCAACCGAACCGGUAUCUAAUACCCUGGUGCUACUAGGAGUACUAGUAAAGUACACAUUAAUAUAAUGUAUAUCCAAUAUACUUUUAUCGACCUUGCCAGCCUUCUCAUCUACCAAGUAUCUAGGGUAGUCCUGCUUCAGUGACCGUUCCCCUCAUUACAGAAGCACUUAGUCUCGGGUUUGGUUUCAACCUUGGGUUUCUUCACUAGAGCAGCAACUGAUUUGCCAUUUCAUGAAGUAUCCCUUCUUGCCCUUGCCCUUCUUGAAACUAGUGGUUUCACUAACCAUCAACAAUUGAUGCUCCUUCUUGAUUUCCACUUUCGCGGCGUCAAACAUCACGAAUAUUUCAAGGAUCAUCAUAUCUAUCCCUGAUAUGUUAUAGUUCAUCACGAAGCUCUAGCAGCUUGGUGGCAAUGACUUUGCAGAAACAUCACUAUCUCAUCUGGAAGAUUAACUCCCACUCGAUUCAAGUGAUUGUUGUACUCAGACAAUCUGAGCACAAGCUCAACGAUUGAGCUUUUCUCCCUUAGUUUGCAGGCUAAGAAACUCGUCGGAGGUCUUAUACCUCUUGACGUGGACACGAGCCUGAAAUGCCAAUUUCAGCCCUCGAAACAUCUCAUAUGUUCCGCGACGUUUCGAAAUCGUCUUCGGUGCCUCAAUUCUAAACCGUUUAACAUUACUGAGCUAUCACGUAGUUAUCAAAACGUGUAUGUCAGAUGUUCGCAACAUCCAUAGACGACGUUCGAGGUUCAGCACACCGAGCGGUGCAUUAAGGACAUAAGCCUUCUACGCAGCAAUGAGGACAAUCCUCAGUUUACGGACCCAGUCCGCAUAAUUGCUACUAUUAACUUUCAACUAAAUUUUCUCUAGGAACAUAUCUAAAACAGUAGAACUAAAGCGCGAGCUACGACAUAAUUUGCAAAAACCUUUUGACUAUGUUCAGGAUAAUUAAGUUCAUCUUAUGAACUCCCACUCAGAUAGACAUCCCUCUAGUCAUCUAAGUGAUACAUGAUCCGAGUCAACUAGGCCGUGUCCGAUCAUCACGUGAGGCGGACUAGUCAUCAUCGGUGAACAUCUUCAUAUUGAUCGUAUCCACUAUAUGACUCAUGUUCGACCUUUCGGUCUCUUGUGUUCCGAGGCCAUGUCUGUACAUGCUAAGCUUGUCAAGUCAACCUAAGUGUUUCGCGUGUGUAAAUCUGGCUUACACCCGUUAUAUGUGAACGUUAGAAUCUAUCACACCCGAUCAUCACGUGGUGCUUCGAAACAACGAACUUUCGCAACGGUGCACAGUUAGGGGGGACAUUUUCUUGAAAUUAUUAUGAGGGAUCAUCUUAUUUACUACCGUCGUUCUAAGCAAAAAAGAUGCAUAAACAUGAUAAACAUCACAUGCAAUCAAAUAAUGACAUGAUAUGGCCAAUAUCAUUUUGCUCCUUUUGAUCUCCAUCUUCGGGGCUCCAUGAUCAUCAUCGUCGCCGGCAUGACACCAUGAUCUCCAUCAUCAUGAUCUCCAUCAUCGUGUCUCCAUGAAGUUGUCUCGCCAACUAUUACUUCUACUACUAUGGCUAACGGUUUAGCAAUGAAGUAAAGUAAUUACAUGGCGUUAUUCAGUGACACGCAGGUCAUACAAUAAAUAAAGACAACUCCUAUGGCUCCUGCCGGUUGUCAUACUCAUCGACAUGCAAGUCGUGUACAAGAAUAUGAUCAAUUUCAUACAUCACAUAUAUUUCAUUCAUCACAUCCUUCUUGGCCAUAUCACAUCACACGGCAUACCCUGCAAAAACAAGUUAGACGUCCUCUAAUUGUUGUUGCAUGUUUUACAUGACUGCUACAGGUUUCUAGCAAGAACGUUUCUUACCUACGCAAAGCCACAACGGUGAUAUGCCAAUUGCUAUUUACCCUUCAUAAAGACCCUUUUUAUCGAAUCCAAUCCGACUAAAGUGGGAGAGACUGGCACCCGCUAGUCACCUUAUGCAACAAGUGCAUGUCAGUCGGUGGAACCUGUCUCACGUAAGCGUACGUGUAAGGUCGGUCCGGGCCGCUUCAUCCCACAAUACCGUCGAAACAAGAUAGGACUAGUAACGGUAAGCAUAUUGAACAAACCAACGCCCACAACUACUUAUGUUCUACUCGUGCAUAGAAUCUAUGCAAUAGACCUAGCUCAUGAUGCCACUGUUGGGGAACGUAGUAAUAAUUCAAAAUUCUCCUACGUGUCACCAAGAUCAAUCUAGGAGAUACUAGCAACGAGAGAGAGACAGAGAGAGAGAGAGAGAGAGGGAGUGCAUCUUCAUACCCUUGAAGAUUGCUAAGCGGAAGCGUUACAAGAACGCGGUUGAUGGAGUCGUACUCGCGGCGAUUCAAAUCGCGGAAGAUCCGAUCUAGCGCCGAACGGACGGCGCCUCCGCGUUCAACACACGUACAGCCCGGGGACGUCUCCUCCUUCUUGAUCCAGCAAGGGGAGAGGAGAAGUUGAGGGAGAGCUCUGGCAGCACGACGGCGUGGUGGUGGAGCUUGCAGUUCUCCGGCAGGGCUUCGCCAAGCACUACUGAGGAGGAGGUGGAGUUGGAGAGGGGGAGGGUUGCGCCAGGGGCAAGGGGUUAAGCUCCCAUGCGCCUCCCCACUAUAUAUAGGGGUGGAGGGGCUGGUUUCUUGCCCUCCAAGUCCAUUGGGGCGUUGGCAAAGGUGGGAGGAAAGAAAUCCCAUCAUUUCCUUCCCCACCGAUUGUUAUCCCCCCUUUUUAGGGAUCUUGAUCUUAUCCCUUCGGGAUAUGAUCUUAUUCCUUCUAAGUGGGAUCUUUGUGCGCCUUGACCAGGGGUGUGUGGCCUUGUCCCCACUACCCACGUUCAUGUGGGUCCCACUCCGGAACCUUCUAGAACCUUCCCGGUACAAUACCGAAAAAUCCCAAACAUAUUCCGGUGGCCAAAAUAGGACUUCCCAUAUAUGAAUCUUUACCUCCGGACCAUUCCGGAACUCCUCGUGACGUCCGGGAUCUCAUCCGGGACUCCGAACAACAUUCGGUAACUGCACACUAAUUCCCAUAACAACUCUAGCAUCACCGAACCUUAAGUGUGUAGACCCUACGGGUUCGGGAAUCAUGCAGACAUGACCGAGACAACUCUCUGGCCAAUAACCAACAGCGGGAUCUGGAUACCCAUGUUGGCUCCCACAUGUUCCACGAUGAUCUCAUCGGAUGAACCACUAUGCCGGGGAUUCAAUCAAUCCCGUAUACAAUUCCCUUUGUCAAUCGAUACGUUACUUGCCCGAGAUUCGAUCGUUGGUAUCCCCAUACCUCGUUCAAUCUCGUUACCGGCAAGUCGCUUUACUCGUUCUGUAACGCAUGAUCCCGUGGCUAACUCCUUAGUCACAUUGAGCUCAUUAUGAUGAUGCAUUACCGAGUGGGCCCAGAGAUACCUCUCCGCCACACGGAGUGACAAAUCCCAGUCUCGAUUCGUGCCAACCCAACAGACACUUUCGGAGAUACUCGUAGUGCACCUUUAUAGCCACCCAGUUACGUUGUGACGUUUGGCACACCCAAAGCAUUCCUACGGUAUCCGGGAGUUGCACAAUCUCAUGGUCUAAGGAAAUGAUACUUGACAUUAGAAAAGCUCUUAGCAAACGAACUACACGAUCUUGUGCUAUGCUUAGGAUUGGGUCUUGUCCAUCACAUCAUUCUCCUAAUGAAUGAUGUGAUCUCAUUAUCAAUGACAUCCAAUGUCCAUGGUCAGGAAACCAUAACCAUCUAUUGAUCAAUGAGCUAGUCAACUAGAGGCUCACUAGGGACAUGUUGUGGUCUAUGUAUUCACACAUGUAUUACGUUUCCAGUUAAUACAAUUAUAGCAUGAACAAUAGACAAUUAUCAUGAACAAGGAAAUACAACAAUAACCAUUUUAUUAUUGCCUCUAGGGCAUAUUUCCAACAUGUUUUUCUAUAACUUUGUCCUCUCUUUGGUGAAAGUUAUCGCGGCGUUUGUACGUAAAUUAUCGGGUAUGUGGUUCACAUAUUACCGUGCUAUUUUCACAUAAGUUAGCGGGUUAUAUUCUUCAACAACUUUCCCCGCUUAGUCAAAAGUUACCGCGUUAUUUGUACCUAAAUUAUCAGGUAUGUGAUUCAUAUAUUACCAUGUUAUUUUCACAUAAAUUACCGACGGGGUAUGUUUUUCAACAAAUUUUCCCCUUUGGUUAAAGUUACCACGGUGUUUGUAGAGAAGUUAUCGGGCAUGUGGUUCAUAUAUUAUCGUGCUAUUUUCACAUAAUAUAUCGAUGAUAUUUUUUUAAUAACUUUUCUUUCCGGUGCAAAAGUUACAAUGGUGUUUGUAUUGUGCUUAUUACCAUGUUAUUUAAACAGAAUUGUCGGAGGGUAUGUUUGAACAACCCCCUCCCCUGGUAAAUCUUACCGCAAUGUUUCUAUGUAAAUUAUCAGAUAUGUGUUUUGUAUAUUACCAUGCUAUUUGCACAUAAAUUUACCGGGGUACUCCCUCCAUUCCUCUUUGUAGUGUGCCGUUGUGCGUAGCGUUUAUACCAAGACGUGACCUGGCACUCUUAUUUGGACGAAAAUUACCCCUCCGUCUGCUCACUCUGCCACAGCACAUGGCUGCCUGCUGCUGCACUCCCUGAACCAGGCGAGGGCUAUUGUGGUCCAAAGCAGCUUAGGCGCACUACAUUUCGGAAUCUAGCCCAAAAAACUAUACGCAUUAGAAUAUGGAAUGGAGGGAGUAUCUUUUUUCAGAAACUUAAUAUGUGUGUUUGUAGGUAAGUUAUCAGGUCCACAGUGCUUAAAAUACAAUGUUGUUUACACAAAAUUUACCGGAGUAUGUUUCAAAAACUUUUCUCCGGGUCAAAAUUACUAACAUGAUGGUAUCGAAGUUGUCAGGAUCAAAGUAGAAAACAUCGUCGAAAGACUGUUUACUGCAAGGGAGAUAUGUACCUGACAAAAACGUCAUUCUUUUUGUAACUUUUUCCUUUUAAUUUACCCAAAAAAAUGGAAGAAAAAAUGCAUAGAACCUGGUAGACCGCAUGGCUACAAGCAUGAAAUAGCAGCAACACUCGAUGCCUAAUUAGCAGACACCAGCUAGCCUAGCCUAGCCUAGCCUAGCAAGUAAACAGCAGCAACACGCGUAUGGAACAGUGGCAGGAAUAAGAAAUAGCGGCAGGCGCAUGAAGCCCACGCGCGUUUUGCAUGGGAGGAGCUGCACAUGGAGCCCACGCGCGUUUUGCAUGGGAGGAGCUGCCCAUGGAGCAGCAGCAGCAGAAAGUCCACGCGCAUCUUGCGCGGAAGGAGCAGCACGCAGCACCAGCCCACGCGCGGGCGUUUGCGGAAAAGAAGCGUUGACCGCUUGAUGCAAAUCGUACGACGCGGGAUGCGGUAGGUAGUUUCGCAGAAAAACUUCCGUGUGCCAGAUGCAUAUUUCGUUAUUCGAUAUAUAACCCCACGUUCUCAUAACCAUGACCUAAACAACCACAACCGUCAUCCCGAAGCUUCACGCCCGUCACUGCUGCCGCAGGCGACGAUGGUGAGUAUGUCAAUGGGGAGCGGGGCGAGGAGCAUCCAGUUGGCGAGUACGUCGACAUGGAGUGGAUCGCCAUCAACGAGGGGCGCCGGCUAACUCUCCACGACCCUCGUGGCCGUGAUCUACCGAGACGCUCGACGCCACAUCGCCACACCGUGAUCCGCCAAGGCCAAUGAGAGCAACAGUGACCAGUGAGACAUUUGAUGGCCGAUCCCUUGGCACGGUGACCAGCGAUAUGUGAGAUCGAUCAUCUCAGCAUACCGAUCUCCUACACAAGUCGCUCCCUCCAUAGCGCCUGCAACUUCGGGUGAGGACUGUUGGCGGGCGCCCUUCAGGACGGUGGUUAUCAUGACCGUUGAUAUGUGCAUUGUGAUAUGGAUUGGGUCACACCGAUUGGCAGGCUAGAAAGUUGGCGCAGGCCUGCUAUCAGCCUAUAUACGUUUGGCACAUGUACUGCGCAUGGGCUGGCUCGACCACAUCUGUUCCGAUGGCCCAUACCUGUUUAUUUCAAAAUAGCACAUGACCUGUGACCCGUGACUCGUCUUCCACCCACCCUUUUCCCCCUCCGGCCGGCCUAACCACAGGGGCCGCACAAUUUCUCUUGUCCCGGCCUCUCUUCCUCUGUACUGAAUCACGGAGGCGCUGCCGUCCUCUCCGGGCGAGAUGGGCUCCUCUGGUGGCCAGUGCGAUGGGUCCGCUAUCAGAUCCUGCUCUAAAAUAAAAUCAUGGGCCCCUAACCGUAGCUUAUCCCUUUGGAUCAGGUUUCUGAUUGAUGCGGAGGCGGCCGCCCUGUCGAAUCUCAGGCAUCCAUGAGCGGCGCCAAUGGCCAGAUUGGUUCUAUAGGAGAUGGGGCUGACGAAAUCCAGAUGGCAGAUGUCUUUGGCAAUGCGGGCUUCGAUGUCUGCUCCGAGGCAACGAGCGGGUGGAGGAGGAGGUAACAAUUGAUCCCAUGUCUUCCCCAGCGAGUAUAGUUGCGUGUGUUGUUUUCUGGCUAAAUAUUUACUUUGCAAAUAGAUGCAACUAGAAAAGUGAUUUCCCACUGUGGAACAUAUGAAUACAGUUAGGAUUUUCAAACUGGAAUUAUGUCCUACAUACUAUGGGUCUAUGUGGUUACUGCUAUAUUUUUGGAAUUCAAUGAAAUGCCUUGGUGUCUACUUGUGUGAUUUAGUUUAUAUUGCACAAGUAUGUUGGCUGUGGGUAGUUAAAUCUCUUGCCGCACGUAUUUACUCAUCUUGUAUACUUUAGCUUGUUUUCUGGAUUUAGUGGUACAGAUGUGAUGUGUAAUAAAGUAGACCAUCCAAUUGGGGUAAAUUCUAGUGGUAAUAUGUGCUGUUUAGCGAUGGCGGUGCAUACUGUAUCUGAUAACUUUUCAUGUUGGCAUAGCAUUUUGGUCAGGGAGCUUUUAAAAAUCAAGUGCUUAUACCUCCUAAAAACAUGCAGGGUUCGGAUAGGCAAGGGGCCUGCAGUGAGGGAUCUGAAUCCAAACAGGAAAACUGCACUAGAAUUGUCUGUUAGGGCAUAUGCAGAGAAGCGCAAUGGAACGGUUGUGAAGCCAACAAUUGGCACCUCGUUUGACUCGAUUGAUGAGGCAUAUGAGUUCUACAAUCUUUAUUCUUGGGAGUGCGGUUUUGGUGUCCGUCUUUCAAGCAGCAGACUCAAUGUUGACAGGAACAAAGCCAUGCAAGAAAUUGUAUGUGCAUGUGCGGUACGUGUCAAUCUUUGGUUGCGAAGUGUGUUUUUUUCUUCUUCUGAAUUUCUCAUGUUUUUUAAAUUCUUGCUAAUGCCGGCCUGGAAUUAUGAAUUGUCUUCUGACUGGCACAAUUUUUCCGUGUGUGGAAAAACAGGGCAAACCACUAAAGGAGAACACCCGUUCAACGAGAUGUGGUUGCACAGCUAUGAUUAGGCUGCUUAGGUCCAGUGAUAAUGGUUGGUACAUAUCAGAACAUAAAGAAGCUCAUAACCAUCCAUUGUCUUUGACUUGCGGGGAGAAAAUGCAUUGGAAGUCACAUAGGCAUAUUGAUCGGUACGCGAAGGAUCUGGUGAAGCAACUGCGGGACAACAAUGUAGGGCUUGGCAAGGUGUUCAGCAUCGUUGGUAGUUUCUUUGGAUCGGUGGAGAAUGUCCCGUUCACAAAACGCUCUUUGAAGACUCUGUGCCGGAAGCUUAACAAGGAGCAAUCUGAUUUUGAUGCGAUGAAGACAAUGGACAUUUUGUCAGAGAUGAAAGCAAAUGACCCUGAUUUCAAUUAUACAGUGCAGGUGGAUGAGGAGAGUCGGAUUAAAACUUUGAUGUGGGUGACUAGCAGGGGCUGUGAUCAGUACAGGUGUUUUGGAGAUGUUAUCACGUUUGACACGGCAUACCGAACGAACCUGUAUGACAUGCCGUUUGGGCUGUUUGUCGGGGUAAAUAACCACUUCCAGAGUAUAAUAUUCGGAGGUGUCAUGGUUAGAGAUGAAAAAGAGGAAACAUUUAAAUGGGUUUUCAGGGAAUUCAUUCGCAUGGUGGGAGGGAAGCACCCCAAAACGAUUCUGACAGGUUUGUGUGCAGCUCGGUCAUAUUUCUAUCAUCACAUAUAUUCAAUAGCUGUUCGAUUUAUUUUGCCUAUGCUAUAGUCGUUGAUAAGCAUUUGCCUGCUGAUUAUUUUUUCAGAUCAGGCAAGAUCAAUGGAAAUUGCUGUCGAAGCUGAGCUACCGAACACAGUGCACCGGUGGUGUAAAUGGCAUGUCUUGCGGAAGGCUAAAGAGUCGAUGGGGACACUUUGGAGCAAGAAAAGCGAUUUCAAAUUAGAGUUCCAUAAGCUUGUGCACCACAUGUUAACAGAGGAGGAGUUUGAGGCCGGAUGGGAUGAAAUGUUGGAGAAGUAUUCUCUCCGCAAACAUCCUUUCCUGACGCAGAUAUACGAGGUUCGCCAUAAGUGGGCGAAGCCGUACUUUAGAGGUGUGUUUUGUGUAAAAAUGACCAGCACUCAGCGUAGCGAGAGCGCAAACCACCUCCUCAAGGGCUACGUCCCUCCUGGGUGUCCCAUGCAUUUGUUUUUGAGGCAGUUUGAGAAGCUCCAAUUCGACAGGGAGUCCGAGGAGAGCUUCCAAGAGAAAAGAACAUCCCUGGUUAGUACAGUGUGCAUUUAUUGUUGAUUUGAACUGCUGAUUAUACUUCUGGAAAUGUUUACUCAUUUAUGUGCUUACAAAUUUCAGAGUGGUGUUUCUCUAAAAGUAAAUCUGCCUAUCGAGAGGCAUGCAAGCAAGGUUUACACAAGGGCCAUGUUUGAACAGUUUGGUGAAGCAUUGUAUAAGUCCUUUUCAUACGUGCGGCUAGGUUGCCUUUUCCAUAGGCUGUCACUAGGUUGCCUUUUCGCCAGAAUACGCGCGGCUACGGUGUCAGCUCGGACCGGAAUACGCGCCAGAUGUGGAUCACGAGGAAGCUGGACGGCCAGGAUAACAACCGUCAACCACCAUUCGCAUUUUUCGCUGCAACUUCCCCCAUCUGCGGGAAGCCUUCCAAAUUCAUGUCGCCGUUCCAACAUAGUUCCAAAAAUCACAAACGUUUCUUAAAUUCAUGGACACUUUUCAAAUUCAUGUACAUAGUUCCAAAAUCCAUGAACUUUUUAAAAUUAAUGAAAUAUUUAAAAUUAUUUAUUUUCGAAAUCCAUAAAUAAUUUUUCAAAAUCAUUAACACUUUUUAAAAUUCUGAACAUCUUCUAAACAAAAGAGAAGAACUAUACGGGGUCAGCCGCGACAGGAUAUGCGAUUGCUUGACAAAGAAGAAAGAAUCGGGCCUGUUUUGUGAAAAGAAAAAUUAGAACAAGCGCACCAUUUUUUUAAGGUGAUGGCAUGGCAAUAAAAUAACUAGAUAUCAAAGGAACUAAAAAUAAAAUUUUCUAAAAAAAGGCCGACACAAAGUGGAUUGAAACCUACAACUUAGUGCUUGCUACAUAAAAUGCUUAUGAAACUUAUGGACUAGUUUUUAUUCUAUCACAUACCACGUCUUAUGGAGUAGUUUUUAUUCUGUCAAGUUUCAACCUGAGGAAGGAAGAAAAAUGAGAGGCUUCGUCGACCUUUAAUCUAAAAGAAAAAGGGGAAGGCAUGGGAAAAAAUGUGAGAAACGGGAGUCGAAUCCACAACCUCUCUAAUUGUUAAGUGUAGGUCUUGUUGGAUUUGUUGGCUCUCUUCAAAUCUUGGCAGUCAGUGCGUCAAUCAAGGAAAGCAACUAGCUUGGUCUUGGUAUGGUGACUUCGACCUCUUCUUCUGAGUUGUUCAGCGACAUGACCCAGUUUGGCCGACCCUAUGGAUUGAUGGUGAAGGAUUGCAAGCCUGCGAUGUGUGCGGUGAUGCCCCAACUGAUAUUCCUCGAGCGGGUUACUAGAUCUAGUUUCGAGCAGCGAGUGCUUAUCUUUAAAGCCUGGUAUGGCGAGGGGCAUUUGCAAGUGUUCCUUUUCCUUCAGUUGGCUCAGUGCAUUUUCAAGCUCCGAUGAGCGACGUACAGUCGAAAGAAGAAGAUGAUUAAAUAUGGUUUUAGAUGUAAUCUAAUUUCUUUGUUGGUCAUUUUGUGUUUUCUUGCCUUUUCAUUGUACUAUGUACCGUUGUUCUACGAUAACAUUCAAUUAUAAGAUGCCCUUGGUGUCUUUAAACAAGUAGUUUUUGUCAAAUUUAAAAUAAAUAAAAGAAUAUUAUUUUUAUAUGUUUUUCAAUUAUAGAAAAUAUCGAAAAAUCUUAAAAAUCUUUAACAAAUUAAAAUAUAAAUCUUCAAAUGAAAAAAAGUGUUCUAAAUUUUACAAAAAUGUUUGUGAAUUUCAAAAAAGUUUCCGAAUCUAAAGAAAAUGCACAGGAAUUUGAAGAAAAAUCCUGAAGUUUAUUUUUAAUGAAUUUAAUAAUGGAUAAAAUGAGCAUAAUAAUAACCACCUACAUCGGCUAGAUUGUGUUGGUUGGAAAUUCUAGAAUUUCAAAGAAUGUUCACGAAUUUAUUGAAGAAGACGGUCAUCGUUUAGGUUGGUCGGGAUAAUUACAGUUGGUGAAUUUUCUAAAUCAAAGAAGCCCCUCGAUGAACUUGGAUUGGGAAAGAUCUUAGGUGACCCCGAGAUCAUUAUAAUGUGUUUACCUCGCAUUGAAAAAAGUUUUUGUCGAAUGUAAAAAAAAUUUGCGUGAUGUACACUUUUUUUUUGUGCAAGUCACAAUUUUUUUUGUACAUGUAUUUGAAUAACGGGCGACAUUUAUUUUGAAAAUUAUCAACGUCCAUUCAACAAAAGAGAUAAAAUUAAUAAAGCAAAAUAUGGGAAAGAAAAUGAACCGCUAGGGCUUAGCACACCUCUUUUGCUAGUAGGCCGUGACCCUCUAUGAAUCGCUAGAGGCGAGUGCUUCGUCGGCCUCGCAGAAGGCAAGAUAUAGCAUUUUCGGUUAGAGGAUGCCUAUGUGUGUCUUUCCCAAAUAUAGUUUUUCUUUUUACUCGGAAAAAAUAGUUUUUCUUUUAGUGGAUCCCAAAAUAUAGUUCUGCCAAAAAUAGAAGGAAAGGACAAAAAUAUAGCCUACCGAAAUCUACACGGAGUGCAACCCAGUUGGGCCGAAACCUCCAAGAACCAAAUAUGCCAAGAACAAGAACUCGGCAAGGACUGCAUUGGGCCGGGCUUGCUCCAAGACUUAUAACUUGGCGCACCGCACUCCCGACCACACCCCACAUCCACUUUCCCCGUCUGGCUUUCUUCUCGGCGGAGGCGGAGGCGACAGGAAGGCGAACGACGAACCCUAGCCGCGCAAGGAACGCCCAGAUCCCCAAGGUACGCUCACCUAAACCUACCGCAUUCUCCUCGGCUGCAAUCCGAUCGAUGGUGUGUGUGUGUGUUGUGUAUCUAUGGGGGCGGGGGUUGGGGGAGCCGCAGCCGGCCGGCCGGCGGUGGUGAUUCGUGACGGACUUGUCAUCCUAAUCCCUAACCGAUAUAUUGUUGGCAGGCCGGCCACGAUGGCGGCGGUUCGGUGCGCGGCGAGGAGGCUCGGUGGCUCCCUGCUCCAGCAAACGCAGGCGGUGGUCGCGGAGGAGGGACGCCUGCUCGCGCCAGGCAGGCUCAUGCGCUCCCGCCAGCUCUCCAGCCAGGUCUCCGGCGAGGUAUCUCAACCGAAAUUGACAUAUUUUAAAUUUUUCUCAUGAUUUAUAUGUAUCUCACGACAUCAAGGGUUGAUGUAGCCACCCAUAAUCGAAUUCUGUGCAACCGAAACUGCAACAUCUACUAGAAACAAAACAAGAUUACUUAACCUGACCUGAACCUGUACAUCCUGACGUACUGGUGCUUAUAUAUAUCAUUUAAGCAACCUAUUUUGCUGGUUGAUCUGAGAAUGACUUUUUACUCGUCCCUGCUGGCCUACUCCAGCGAUCACAGGUGGCGGAGCGACGACUCCUCGAGCCAGGCUGGCUCAUGCGUUCCCGCCAGCUCUACAGCAAGGUAUCUAAACCAAAACUGACAUCUUUUUAUCUCAUGAUUUAUCUGCCGACAUGAUGGAUGUAGCCUCCGAUAAUUGAAUUGUGUGCAAUCGGAACAGCAACAUGCAUGUGUCUCUUCUAUAGAUACUAGACUAGAAAAAAGAGCAAAAAUUACUUACUUAGCAUCGUCUUGUUUAAUCUGACCUGAAGCUGUACAUCCUGACUUAAUAACAGGACUGCAUCCAAAUCAUAUCAUUAAGCAACAUUAUUUUUCCUGGAUGAUCCGAGCAUUAUGACUUUUUGCUCAUACCUUUAGCAAAUAAUUAGUUCCAACUCAUCUUCUGCUUGAUGCAUGCUAAUACAGUAUGAUGAUUAUGUGACUUCAUUUAUCCAUAUACGGCAAGUAUGAUCCUGUGCCUAGUUGAUACACAUGCACCAUGCAUUCUGUACAUUUCGAACUGACAGACAAGACAAUAUCCUUCUUAAUUAUUUACCAGUUGCAGUCAGUGCUUACUUCAUGAUUGAUGAUGCAAAGUAAGUACAGUGACCAUUUUCUAUGUGUAUUAAUCCAGACCCCCAAGAAGAAGAAGCUGUCUGCCUUGGAAUCUGAGUUCCUGUGGACACAGGAGACGCUUAAUGCCUCGUGUGAUAGGUUGGAGGAGCUUCAAAAGAAAGCAGCACCAGAUGCCUUUAAGUUGUAUGUACAAUAUACAAGAUGCAUGCAGAUACUAUACUUGAUUGAUUUCUUCCUUAUUUUCAUGUUUGUUUGUUUGUUUGACAGGAGUUGAUACAUAUAAUCUUAUUUGACCUACCUCUCUCUACCUGCAGGGGCGUGAAGACCUAUGGACGUGUGGCUAAGGGUGUGGUCAGUGGAGCUGCCAAGCUGACAUUUUGCUUCUGUAUGGUUACUUCUGUUAUUUUUGGUGACAAGGGGGUACAAAGCCAGGCUGUUACCAAUGAAAACCAUUGAAGACGAGAUGGAAAAAUGAGAACCAAAGAUGGCGCGUGUUUUAAGUUAUAAAUUAUGACCUCUGCAGUUUGGCUAGCUAGCAGUCUAGCACUAUGCUAUGAUAUUGUGUGACAUUAGCAUGUUAUUAUAUCUCUUCGAGUAGAUUAUGCAUGAAAUUGUAGCUUGAUGCGAACAUACUUGCAAAGCUUGUAUCGUCAUUGGCAUGCAUUGUAGUGAUUGCAAUCAACUUAGAAGUUACUCAUGACUGAUUUUAAUUGUCUUACGUCUUGUACAGAUCCUUUCACUUCAUGACUGCCCUGUUUUUUUUUU